CCUACGGGCGGCAGCAGUGGGGAAUAUUGGACAAUGGGGGGAACCCUGAUCCAGCCAUGCCGCGUGUGUGAAGAAGGCCCUCGGGUUGUAAAGCACUUUCAGUGAGGAAGAACGCCUGGUGGUUAAUACCCAUCAGGAAAGACAUCACUCACAGAAGAAGCACCGGCUAACUCCGUGCCAGCAGCCGCGGUAAUACGGAGGGUGCUAGCGUUAAUCGGAAUUACUGGGCGUAAAGCGCGCGUAGGUGGCUUGAUAAGCCGGUUGUGAAAGCCCCGGGCUCAACCUGGGAACGGCAUCCGGAACUGUCAAGCUAGAGUGCAGGAGAGGAAGGUAGAAUUCCCGGUGUAGCGGUGAAAUGCGUAGAGAUCGGGAGGAAUACCAGUGGCGAAGGCGGCCUUCUGGACUGACACUGACACUGAGGUGCGAAAGCGUGGGUAGCAAACAGGAUUAGAUACCCUGGUAGUC
rnacentral:rRNA from 1 species